rnacentral:rRNA from 1 species
AGCGAACGCUGGCGGCAGGCCUAACACAUGCAAGUCGAGCGGCCGUAGCAAUACGGCAGCGGCAGACGGGAGAGUAACACGUGGGAACGUACCCUUUGGUUCGGAACAACCCAGGGAAACUUGGGCUAAUACCGGAUAAGCCCUUACGGGGAAAGAUUUAUUGCCGAAGGAACGGCCCGCGUCCGAUUAGCUUGUUGGUGAGGUAACGGCUCACCAAGGCGACGAUCGGUAGCUGGUCUGAGAGGAUGACCAGCCUCACUGGGACUGAGACACGGCCCAGACUCCUACGGGAGGCAGCAGUGGGGAAUAUUGGACAAUGGGCGCAAGCCUGAUCCAGCCAUGCCGCGUGGGUGAUGAAGGCCCUAGGGUUGUAAAGCCCUUUCGGCGGGGAAGAUAAUGACGGUACCCGCAGAAGAAGCCCCGGCUAACUUCGUGCCAGCCGCCGCCGUAAUAC